UUGAUCUUAUGGCCGUGAUGUCGGAGCGCGAGGGUCUCAUAAAAGCAAACUAGUGAUGUGUUGCUGGAUACUGAUGUGUCGAGCUUUCGACAAGUAGAUAUUGCUGCAGAUGAGGGGGAUGACCAAAUAGGCAGCUGACUGCACAGAUAUCAAUGACGUCAUGACGCCAGCGUGCCUCAAAAUCACGUGACAGGAGCAUUUCAAACAAGCAUCAUAGCGGCGUAUCGAGAGCGCAACACGUCAGUAUCCAGCAGCACAUCACUAGUCUGCUCUUAUAAGACCCCCGCGCUCAGACUUGUUCACGGCCAUAAGAUCGAGCAAAGGUGCGGAAGGACUUUCCCAUUUCACGUGGCCAUACACUGAGGUGUCUAAUGGCCUCCAGCUCAGGCCUGUCCAUGUGAGAAGUGAAUCUGAGAAGAGAAGGGCAGACACUUAAAGAGAGAGAAGUGUUUCCCACAGAGCAUGGCAUCUGCCAAAGAAAAUUGUGUGGAUGAAAGAACAGUGGACAUUAAAGAAGAGGACUAUGAGUGGCUCACACCAGAGGAUGUGUGUGAAGCUGGAGGAUCACGAAGAAAGAAUUUCAGUUUUUAAAGAGGAGGAGGAGUGCAAGGGGGUGACUGCUGCCAUCAAAGCUGAGGAUUUAAAUGAUUUCUCCAUUGGUCUUGAACUUCAAAAGCAUGAAACUGAGGAUAUUUUUAAGCAAGAUGCUUGUGAAGAAACUCCAUCCAGUUUACAGCCCUGGUCCACUAAUACGGGACGACUGGCUAUGCAGGAGAAUUCUGCCGAGCUGAAAUCAGAGUUAUCGGAGUCUGAAGAGAAAAUCACUGAUGGAAAUGGAGGAGAAGAAGAAGAGUCACCUGGGAGUGUUGGAAUAAAUUUACAGAAGAAUGGCAGCUUCUCUCCACCUUCAUUUGGUCAGCCCUCUCUUCAAUACAAUGAGAAAGGUAUAAUGAAAUCAGCAGGAGGAUCACAGAACCUGACAGAAGCCUUUUUGCAGUGCACUUCUCUCCCUGCUACUGGAGUAACACAGACAGAAGCCAUCAAAACUGAUCGACAGCAAGUGGAGAAAGAAAACCAAAUUCAUACUGGAAAAAAAUGUUUAGAAUGUGGCAAACAAUUCACACACAAAAGUGAUCUAAAUAAGCAUAUGAAGAUUCACAUUGGAGAUAAACCAUAUUGUUGUCAUGAAUGUGGUAAGCCGUUUUCAAGGAGAAGCCAUCUUCAGAGUCAUAGAAGAAUCCACACAGGAGAAAAACCUUAUUGUUGUCCAGAAUGUGGCAAACAAUAUUCUGACAAACUCAGUUUUCAAAGGCACAAAUAAAUUGAUACUGGAGAGAAGCCAUAUUGCUGUUCUCAAUGAGGAAAAAGGUUUUUCAACAGUAGGUGUUUUCGAGUACACACACAAACUCACACUGAAGAUAAAAUGCAGUUUGUCUGUUCUGAAUGUGGCAAAUGUUAUGUAAUCAAGAAAAGUCUUCAUAUACACACCAAAAUCCACACUGGAGAAAGAUAUUUUUGCUGUUCUGAAUGGGGGAAACGAUCCUUAGACUUAAGCAUACUUCAGUUCCACAUCUGAACUCACACUGGCGAGAAACCUUAUUGUUGUCCUGAAUGUGUUAAGCAGGUCUCACAAAAAAGCACCCUACAGUGUCACAUCAGACUUCACACCGGAGAGAAACCUCACCAUUGCUUGGAAUGUGGCAAACUAUUCUCAUGCCUCAAUUCUCUGUAUAAUCAUAGGAAAAGCCUUACAGUUGUACUGAAUGUUGAAUGUGAUUCUCCUAUAAUAGUUUUCUUCACAAUCAUAAAAUAAUUCAUUGUGGUAAGAAAUAACACUGUUCUGACUGUUGCAAGUUUUUCUCAGAAAGCAGGACUCUCAAGGAUCAUAUGAGAAUUCACUCUGGAGUGAGACCUUACUGCUGUCCAGAGUGUGGCAAACGAUUCUCAGUUCAAAGCGCACUUAGGUGCCACAGAAGGAUCCACACUGGAGAGAAGCAGUACACCUGUUCUGAAUGUGGUAAAGGGUUCUCUUCCAGAAAAAGUUUUCAGAGACACACGCAAAGUCAUAUUGGAGUAAAGCCUGUCCCAGAAAUGACAAAUGAUAUUUCCAUUGGCUCCUCAAUCAAAAAACAUUAAGAAAAAUCUUCUGAAUGCUUUAAAGGACUCCAGUUGAAAGUAGCUAAUAAGUACAUAAGAAUAGUGGAGAAAACACAAAGUGGCAAACAGAUCAUAGAUGUAAGGUCACCUCAGAGCCACAUAUAAAUUCACAGUGGAAUACAACACAUAUUUAACAAACAGCAAGAAGCUUCUUCAACAACUUACAGGUGCAAGAAAAUAAAAAAAACCUCAUUGUUGUCCUGAAUGUGGUUACCGCUUUUCAGACAGCAGUGGCCUUCAUAUUCAUAAAUGACUGUCUUACUUGUGGUAAGCCUCUUAGCUCAUCUGAAUGUUGA